UUCAAGGAUAAAGGUAAAAGAUAUACUUUAUUAGAAAAAUACUUGAGAAGUAUUUUUACAAGAAUGAUGGAAUUGCAAGUAGUAUAUGAGUACUUUGAAAGGGACUACACAUAUAUGGAUUAUGUCAUGUGGUACAACAUUGGUGAGAUACUAGUUAAAUUCUAUCUUCCUCUCCUUCCUCUUCCCUCUCGUUCCUUGCUUCCAUAAAGCUCCAAGGAGACAGCUAGAGUACCUACAAAAUUAACACCAAAUGGGGGAUCAAAAUAUGACUCAUAAGUAAAGGGGAAGAGGGGCACAAGCUCAAAUAAGAAAAAGGAAUUAGUAGGCGAAAUAGGGCAGCCAGGGGCUGGCAUUGUAGGGCAUGAAAUCAGCCAUUUGCCACCUUUCCAAAGUUUCACCAAAGUGGAAAUAAUGACAAGUGAAGCAAGAAAGAUGAGCUUAUCUUCAAACCCAAAUGAGAGGAACCACACUCUCCCAAAAUACAAAAUGAGAUCAGCUAAAUAGCCUUCCAGGAAUUUCACCAAUUUAGGCAUGGAAGCCUAUUAAGAAAAUAUGAAAGGGGAGGCAACCCCUAACUGGAUUUGGAGAAUCCAGCUCCCAAGGAUCAGCCCUCACUAGCCAAGGACUCGGCUAUAAAUACCACCCAUCUCGAUUCCAUAUACCUCUAUGCCAAGAGGUCAAUUGUAGUCUCCUAGAGAUAGCAUGAGUUGGCCUUUCGCCUGCCAAGGAAAUUCCAAAAAUGGUUAGAUUCCUCCAUCAACAAAAUCCAAGGAAAAAGUUUAUUCAUGGAAAUGGUAAGUAGCCAUUUAAGAUCUUGCAAAGAGCCUCUGCAUUGAUAUCCCUCUUCCAAAGAAAUAAACCACAAUGAACUCAUCAAAUAAUGAGCUUCCCAAGGCAUACACCAAUUUGGUAUAGAAGCUUUUAAGCUCAACAAAAGAGAGAUGAACAAUUAGCUCAAAAGGGAAUUUGGCAUCUUCCACACAAUGACCAAGAGAUACGAGAAAUAGCAAGUAUAGAGGCUCUACAAUGUCUUACACCAAUUUAGGCAUAGAAGCUUUAAGCUCAAAAUCAAAAGGUGGAAGGGACAAUAGAUCAAAGUAGGAGUGGAAGCUCCCAAGGUCUGCCACAAAAGUCCAAGAAAUUUAGCUAUAUAAACAGCCACAAACCCCUUUCUCUCCUACCCCUUUCGACACCCAAUUUUUUUUAUACACCAAGGAUGUGCAGCAGUGAGGAGGGAGAAGGGCAAAUAGUGGCAGCAAGCAAUAGCCACAACAACUAAGGAAUCACCAAAGCAAGGUAAUUCUCCCCAACAUCUUUUACGAAAAUAGCAUUCAUAUAGAUCCCAACAUAGCAAUUAUAAGAUAGGACGUAGAGAACAUAGAAGUAGCAUCAAUCAACAGUUAGUACCAACAUCAAGAUCAAGCCUUUAAUCACAACCAUGGCCCAUGCUUCUAAGAUCACACAUAGUUGCUGCCGGAAACUCGAAAGAAUUAAGUUUUAGUAGAAGUUAGGGGACUUAGCUUAAAGCCGAAGGGCUGCCCCACGACCUCCGACAGCGGCUAAGACACGAGGGCAGCCGCGCGGACUCCUCGGCGGUAGCAACGGCGAUCACAAGAGCCGGCAACAACGAGCGGAAAGGCGGCAGAGAGCAGCGCCAACCGACUGCGUGAUGCCGGGCUGAGCACAGCGACGGAGACAGCGAUGCCGCUGAGAGGGAACCUGCCGCGUGAGGGUGCGACGGCGGUGGCAGCAGCGGCUCCUGGUCCGGCACGGAAUCGCCACUGAGACAUCGUCGGAGCUAGCUGCGGAGUCGCAGAGCGAGAGGAAGCUCGACGGUGAGAGAAACAGAGAAAGAUAGGGAGAAGACCGAUGGGAAUCACCGGCGAUAGGGAGCGCCGGCGAUUCGAUCAGUGAUGGACGGCCGACGGCUGUGGAGCUGUACAGCGAGAGUGAGCUCGACGGGAGCCGGAGGCGGCGCUGUGGAGAGCUGGCGGCGAGGUUUUGAGAGAAAGAGAAAUUGAGAAUGAGAAUUGGAGAAGGAGAACUUGAGGAGAGAUGAGGAGAUGAUGGAGCCGCUGCUUCUUCAUCUUGAAUUUUAGGGAUUUUCAAUUUGAGAAUGAAGAUGGGGAAUUUUGAUGGAAGAGAAGGAAGUACCGAUGGAAGAGAGUAUAAUUGGGGGCUGCUCUUUUAAUUAAUAAAGUGGGUUCCGUAAUGGAUUAAGCAAGUUGGGCCUUAACAAUUAAAUAGACAAUUUGGGCUGCCCACUCUGGAUUAAUUGAAUUCUGGGCCUCUAAAAUAAAUGGAGAAGUUGGACCAUUUUAUUCAAUUGUAGAGUUUGGACCGAGAACUUUCAAUAAUUAUUUGGGAAAGGAAUUAAUUUAAGGAAUUAAGCUUGGAUCUUAAUUAAAUUAAUUUCCGAAUAAUUUGAGUUCGAAGAUGGAAAAAUUAAAGCAGAGACGCGAAGGGCCGACCGGCGUCGCCCCUCGAAGCCAUGGGCGGCCUUAAGAAAAAUCCGAAGAAAGGAAUUUAAAGAGGGAUUGCAAGAAUCCAUAUUUUACUAUUUAAGGGAUAAUAGAAUUUCUCCAAGAUAAGUAAAGCGAACAAUUAAGUACUACCGCACAAUAAAGCCGAGUUAGGAUUUAAGGAAAAAAUCCCAUAACCCGAGACUAAGAGAUAGAUGCUUUCCUAUAGGAUGCAUGCAUUUUUUUUUCUUCUCAGAAAAAUAGUUCGAGUACUAAUUAGCGUGUUACGCUAUUUAUUUUAAAGGAGAAUUUAUACAAGGGCAAAGUAAGGCCGACGGGAGAAUUUUAAUUGAGGAGUAAACGUAUCAGAUUAAGCAAUAGGGUGGAGGCGUGCUGAUCAGAGUCGAUGCUACUUAAGUAAAUAAGUGUGGAUCUCUCGACGCUUCGUGUCUUCAUACGCGAAGUCGUUUUCUGGACUUUUUCCGCUGCAGUUUGUUAAGAGAGUAUAGUGAACUCUCAUCAUCGAAACUCUGAUUCAUUUUGAUGAAAUGCCAUUGUUAUUCAAAUCCUUGUAAUCGAAUACUUGGAUCUUAUCUAUCAUAUUGUUUGACUUUUCAAUGUGCAAGUUCUAUCUUCAUUUCUUCCA